UUUUAGAGGAAAAUAUAAAGUCUGACCUGCCCACUGAAGUAUAGAAUAAUUGAAGGGCCGCGGUAUUUAUGACCGUGCAAAGGUAGCAUAAUCAUUAGUCUUUUAAUUGGGGACUAGAAUGAAUGGUUGAACGAAAUAAUAACUGUCUUAAAGUAAAAUGGUUGAAUUUAAUUAUUAAGUGAAAAAGCUUAAAUAAAGUUAAAGGACGAGAAGACCCUAUAGAGCUUUAUAUAAAAAUAUAUAAAAAUUAUUAGGAAAAUUUAAAAUAAUAUAUGUUAUUGUAUUUUAUUGGGGUGAUAUGAAGAUAGAAGUAACUCUUUAUUAUUUGUAACAUUGAUUAAUGAAUAAUUGAUCCACAAGUUGUGAUUAGAAGAUUAAGUUACCUUAGGGAUAACAGCGUAAUUUUUUUUAAGAGUUCUUAUCAAUAAAAAAGAUUGCGACCUCGAUGUUGGAUUAAGGAAAUAUAAAUUAGGUGAAGAAGUUUAAAUUAUAAGUCUGUUCGACUUUUAAAUCCU
rnacentral:rRNA from 1 species